rnacentral:misc_RNA from 1 species
AAUUCUCAAACCAACUUUUAUUAGUUGGCUUUGGACUUUGAGGGUUUUGCUGAUGAAAGUCGGCUCCCUUUAAAUGCAUUAGCUGGUAUUACUUCAUGUGAAAGCCAGACUAUGGUGUGAUAAUUAUCUACGCUAUUGGUCUCGGUGGAAGCAAGUUGUUGGCCGCUUCUAAUCGUUGUUAACAGCAACAAUCUUGAAA